CUGCAGCCCUGGGGCCCGGGAGGACUGCGGCCGCGGAACGUCGUAGAGGAUCAGGGAAGGUUCAGGGUCGACCUCCAGACUCAGUCCUUGGGUUGGGUGGCAGGGUGGGGGCACUAGGGUGGGGAGAUCUCGAGUUUAGGCCAUAAAAAAGAUCAGAAAGAGAAGAGCCCGAGAGAGAGGUGGCCCACCUUGGCCCCGGAGCUUGGGAGGGCGGGUCCCGGCUGGGGUUCGUGGGAUCUGGACCCACUCGCCCCCCGGGACGCGAGCGCGGCGGGGACCGGGCGCGCGAGGCUGCGCCGAGAGAGGGCGCCGGCCCAGGUGCGGCCUCUGGGUGUGGCCGAAGCCAGCCCAGGCGGCCCGGAUUGUCGUCCUCUGCGGAAGCGGCCCGGGCGCGGGAGCCGCGGGCGUAGCCAGCUCCGGAGCCCCGCGCCUCCGCCGCCCCGCGCGCCCUUCCUUUGUGUCUCCCAAGCAGGGGUGAACGCAGACCACUUGGAUUUGAUUUUUCCGUGCGAGUUCCCUUUUUUCCAAGUUCGGGGCCCCUCCUUCCCCCAGCGGCGCGCGCCCCCGGGGUGUCCGCCCCCUCCCCCUCCGGCCCAGCCCUGGGCGGGGCAGACGCCCUUGGAGUCGGGAGAAAAGACUAUCUGAUUUCAAAACCGACGCGACCCGAGCUGGGCUGCGGAAAUGGCGCCCAUGUCCCGGCUCCGGCCAGGUCGUGAUCAGGAGACAGGUGUGGCCCUGGGACCCGUUUGGAGAGCAGAGCGGGGGUUGAGCGGGGCCUGCGGCAGGGAAACCGGGAGAAGCAGGAGGCCGGGCGGGGCGGGGCAGGACGGUUGAGUCCUUCAUUGCUUCUAUCACAGACUGAGGAGCCUCUCCCCACCGCAAUCCCUUUAUACUGGGUAGGGGUUCGAAGGCACAGGGACAGAGUAUACAGGACACUGCUUGAGGCAGCGCGUCCACCCACCAUCUGUGCGACCUCAUCAAGUCACCUCUCUGAGCCUCAGUUUCCCGGUAUAAUGGAAACGGCAAUUUUAAAUGACACAGCCAUAAGGAAUUAAUAAUCUUGGCUACUGGGCUGGGAGCAGUGGCUCACACCUGUAAUCCCAGCACCUUGGCAAGCCAAGAUGGGAGGAUUGCUUGAGGCCAGGAGUUCGAGACCAGCCUGGGCAACAGUGAGGCCCUGUCUCUACAACAAACAAGCAAACAAACAAACAAGAACAACAAAAAAACUCAGCUACCACUUCAUGAGUAUCUAUGCUGCGCCAGGGACUACUUCAGGUACUAAAUUCAUGCAUCUUAUAUAGAGACGGGAGCACGGUAGGGGAUGGCAGAGACAGGUCACUCAGGAAGUUAAGCCAAGGCCAGGUUGGAAGUUAAGCCAGGCCCUGCCGCUGGGUGAACUACACAGGCAACGAGCAUUCCACCCUGCCCUGCUGGGUAUGCACAGUCUCAGUGUGGUAUUCCUAGUGCUGCCCGAGCAGGUGCCAGAGGCACCUUGGGGUGGGGUUAUCAUUCUGGAAGCUAGAAGGACCAGCAGCUCAGGCAGGGUCCAGUUCCUAUUGAUUCUACCCUGAAAUGUCCCUCAAUUCCCUCGACGUCUCACCAUUUGUCCCUAGAUCACCACACAGAGUCCUUCCUUGCCAACUGGCAGUGCUCCUUUUUUUUCUUUUUGAGACGGAGUCUUGCUCUGUCGCCCAGGCUGGGGUGCAGUGGCGCGAUCUCAGCUCACUGCAACUUCCGCCUCCCAGCUUCAAGCCAUUCUCCCGCGUCAGCCUCCCGAGUAGCUGGGACUACAGCUAAUUUAAUAUUUUUUGUAUUUUUAGUAGAGACGGAGUUUCACCAUGUUGGCCAGGAUGGUCUCGAUCUCUUGACCUCAUGAUCCGCCUGCCUCGGCCUCCCAAAGUGCUGGGGUUACAGGUUUCAGCCACCGCACCCAGCCUCCC
rnacentral:lncRNA from 1 species